CUCGAUGUUGGAUUAAAGUUUAUUUUUGGUGUAGAAGCUAAAACAUUGAGU
rnacentral:tRNA from 1 species